rnacentral:pre_miRNA from 1 species
AUUUAUUUCAUUCGCACCUGUAUCUUGCUGAACCGUUUCCAGAUUUCAUUUCCGGUUGAGCAAAAUUUCAGGUGUGUGAGAAAUUUAUCUUGAA